rnacentral:rRNA from 1 species
GAUGAACGCUGGCGGCGUGCCUAAUACAUGCAAGUCGAGCGAACAGACGAGGAGCUUGCUCCUCUGACGUUAGCGGCGGACGGGUGAGUAACACGUGGAUAACCUACCUAUAAGACUGGGAUAACUUCGGGAAACCGGAGCUAAUACCGGAUAACAUGUUGAACCGCAUGGUUCAACAGUGAAAGACGGUCUUGCUGUCACUUAUAGAUGGAUCCGCGCCGCAUUAGCUAGUUGGUAAGGUAACGGCUUACCAAGGCAACGAUGCGUAGCCGACCUGAGAGGGUGAUCGGCCACACUGGAACUGAGACACGGUCCAGUCUCCUACGGGAGGCAGCAGUAGGGAAUCUUCCGCAAUGGGCGAAAGCCUGACGGAGCAACGCCGCGUGAGUGAAGAAGGUCUUCGGAUCGUAAAACUCUGUUAUUAGGGAAGAACAAAUGUGUAAGUAACUAUGCACGUCUUGACGGUACCUAAUCAGAAAGCCACGGCUAACUACGUG